GCCAGGUAUGGUGGUGCACACCUAUAAUCCCAGCUACCUGGGAGGCUGAGGCAGAAGGAUAGCAAGUUCAAAGCCAGCCUCAGCAAAAGUGAGGCACUUAGCAACUCAAGACCCUGUCUCUA
rnacentral:sRNA from 1 species